rnacentral:rRNA from 1 species
GACGGGGGGGCAAGUGUUCUUCGGAAUGACUGGGCGUAAAUGGCACGUAGGCGGUGAAUCGGGUUGAAAGUGAAAGUCGCCAAAAAGUGGCGGAAUGCUCUCGAAACCAAUUCACUUGAGUGAGACAGAGGAGAGUGGAAUUUCGUGUGUAGGGGUGAAAUCCGUAGAUCUACGAAGGAACGCCAAAAGCGAAGGCAGCUCUCUGGGUCCCUACCGACGCUGGGGUGCGAAAGCAUGGGGAGCGAACAGG